GCGGGAGGACGCGGAUGAGGAUUUUGUCCGAGUCAUCGUGCUGGAGAUCUACGAGGUGUCCUACGUCAACCUUUCCACAAGAGAGACGUUUUCAAAGGUCGGCCGGGAGCUCCUCAGCUCCAUCACGGCGGUCCACACCGGCAUGAUUUCUGUGUUGCUGGACCGAGUCCAAGAGACCAUUGAAACGGUGGGCAUGGUUUCCCUUUAUUUAUUUAAAGAACUCCCGAUGCACCUCUGGAAGCCGUCCGCUUCGGAAGUGGCUCUGAUCCGCAACUGGCUGCUGGAUUACAACUUGACCGCCGUCGAGAACAAGCUCGCCUGCGUCAUUC